GACGAACCGUGCGGACGUUAUUCGGAAUCACUGGGCUUAAAGGGUGCGUAGGCGGGUCUUUAAGUCAGGGGUGAAAUCCUGGAGCUCAACUCCAGAACUGCCUUUGAUACUGAAGAUCUUGAGUUCGGGAGAGGGAGCUGGAAUUCCCGGUGUAGCGGUGAAAUGCGUAGAUAUUGGGAGGAACACCGGUGGCGAAGGCGGCUAUCUGGACCGGUACUGACGCUGAUACGCGAAAGCCAGGGGAGCAAACGGG
rnacentral:rRNA from 1 species